UGGGGAAUUUUGGACAAUGGGCGCAAGCCUGAUCCAGCCAUGCCGCGUGAGUGAAGAAGGCCUUCGGGUUGUAAAGCUCUUUCGGCCGGGAAGAAAUCGUGUUCUCUAACAUAGGACAUGGAUGACGGUACCGGACUAAGAAGCACCGGCUAACUACGUGCCAGCAGCCGCGGUAAUACGUAGGGUGCGAGCGUUAAUCGGAAUUACUGGGCGUAAAGCGUGCGCAGGCGGUUUUGUAAGACAGAUGUGAAAUCCCCGGGCUUAACCUGGGAACUGCGUUUGUUACUGCAAGGCUGGAGUACGGCAGAGGGGGGUGGAAUUCCACGUGUAGCAGUGAAAUGCGUAGAGAUGUGGAGGAACACCGAUGGCGAAGGCAGCCCCCUGGGCCUGUACUGACGCUCAUGCACGAAAGCGUGGGGAGCAAACA
rnacentral:rRNA from 1 species